rnacentral:rRNA from 1 species
CAGGGUGAGUCGACCCCUAAGGCGAGGCCGAAAGGCGUAGUCGAUGGGAAACGGGUUAAUAUUCCCGUACUUGGUGUUACUGCGAAGGGGGGACGGAGAAGGCUAUGUUGGCCGGGCGACGGUUGUCCCGGUUUAAGCGUGUAGGUGUGUGUUCCAGGUAAAUCCGGUUCACUUUAACACUGAGGCGUGAUGACGAGGCACUACGGUGCUGAAGCAACAAAUGCCCUGCUUCCAGGAAAAGCCUCUAAGCAUCAGGUAACAUCAAAUCGUACCCCAAACCGACACAGGUGGUCAGGUAGAGAAUACCAAGGCGCUUGAGAGAACUCGGGUGAAGGAACUAGGCAAAAUGGUGCCGUAACUUCGGGAGAAGGCACGCUGACACGUAGGUGAAGUGAUUUACUCAUGGAGCUGAAGUCAGUCGAAGAUACCAGCUGGCUGCAACUGUUUAUUAAAAACACAGCACUGUGCAAACACGAAAGUGGACGUAUACGGUGUGACGCCUGCCCGGUGCCGGAAGGUUAAUUGAUGGGGUCAGCGCAAGCGAAGCUCCUGAUCGAAGCCCCGGUAAACGGCGGCCGUAACUAUAACGGUCCUAAGGUAGCGAAAUUCCUUGUCGGGUAAGUUCCGACCUGCACGAAUGGCGUAAUGAUGGCCAGGCUGUCUCCACCCGAGACUCAGUGAAAUUGAACUCGCUGUGAAGAUGCAGUGUACCCGCGGCAAGACGGAAAGACCCCGUGAACCUUUACUAUAGCUUGACACUGAACAUUGAGCCUUGAUGUGUAGGAUAGGUGGGAGGCUUUGAAGUGUGGACGCCAGUCUGCAUGGAGCCGGCCUUGAAAUACCACCCUUUAAUGUUUGAUGUUCUAACGUGGACCCGUGAUCCGGGUUGCGGACAGUGUCUGGUGGGUAGUUUGACUGGGGCGGUCUCCUCCUAAAGAGUAACGGAGGAGCACGAAGGUUGGCUAAUCCUGGUCGGACAUCAGGAGGUUAGUGCAAUGGCAUAAGCCAGCUUGACUGCGAGCGUGACGGCGCGAGCAGGUGCGAAAGCAGGUCAUAGUGAUCCGGUGGUUCUGAAUGGAAGGGCCAUCGCUCAACGGAUAAAAGGUACUCCGGGGAUAACAGGCUGAUACCGCCCAAGAGUUCAUAUCGACGGCGGUGUUUGGCACCUCGAUGUCGGCUCAUCACAUCCUGGGGCUGAAGUAGGUCCCAAGGGUAUGGCUGUUCGCCAUUUAAAGUGGUACGCGAGCUGGGUUUAGAACGUCGUGAGACAGUUCGGUCCCUAUCUGCCGUGGGCGCUGGAGAACUGAGGGGGGCUGCUCCUAGUACGAGAGGACCGGAGUGGACGCAUCACUGGUGUUCGGGUUGUCAUGCCAAUGGCACUGCCCGGUAGCUAAAUGCGGAAGAGAUAAGUGCUGAAAGCAUCUAAGCACGAAACUUGCCCCGAGAUGAGUUCUCCCUGAGACUUAGAGUCUCCUGAAGGAACGUUGAAGACGACGACGUUGAUAGGCCGGGUGUGUAAGCGCAGCGAUGCGUUGAGCUAACCGGUACUAAUGAACCGUGAGGCUUAACCUU